GCCUGCAGUACUGCACUCUAACUGCUGCGCCACCUCGGUUGUUAAGUGAAUCGCGCGGUCUGGCUUCCCCCACUGAUUUUGCUUGACGGAAAGUUGCCAACCGUGAUCACAGGACCCCGGGAUGCUACCACCGUCAUAAGUGCGUGCCAGUUGCCAAGUGUUUGAAUUUUGAACAUGUGACCACGGGGAUGCUGCUGGAACGGUGCAUGGCCACUUGCGAGAGAAGUAAAGACAGAUGUCACUGGAGGACAAGAGACGGUAUCUCCUGCACUUUCCUAAGAAAGAUGGAGCUUCUUCCAAGAAGAGGUUGAAUGAAUUAUUCAUGAGCGUCACCAAGAGGAGCAGGAUCACACAGAUGGAGAGGAGGCCAAUGGCGGAGCAAGGCCAGCUGGUACCAUCUGCGAAAGGGAAGAAGGAAAGUACCAAGGAGAGAUGAGAACAGAGGAAGACAACCAGGCUCCCCAAAUUGUUGUCGGAAGAGAUUCUCUUCACAGGAGCCACUGAGCUAUCAGGCAGAAUAAUUGAAGGGUGUUUUUUCCUCAAUGGUUUUUUUUUUUAUUUUUUUGGGUAAGCUGCCCGGAGUAACUUCAGAUGGCUAAAUUAAAAGGUAAAAGGUAAAAGAUAAGGUGAAGUGACGUGAAGUUGGAGAGAAGGGAAGGGAUAAAAUAAACAUCCCAACUACACUGCCAGGGCAAACCAUUUGUAUAUAUCAACAGACAGCAGCCCACCCCCCCAUCCUUCUAACACUGAUGAUGCUCCCUAGUUGGGUUAUGGGGUAUUUGCAAGAAAACAACGCAGCUCAGAGAGCACCAGGGACCCCACACAUAAAUGACAAUAAUAAUAUAAAGUGCAGUAAUAAAUAAAGUACAAGGAGCAAAACAAAACAAUAAAUAAAAUAAAAAAUAAUAAAAUAAAAAAUAAUAAAAUAAAAUAAACAAAACAAAAUAAUUGCAGGUAUACGAAGAGCUUAUACACCGGAGACUAAUUCCUUGUAUGUCUUGGCCAAUGAAGUAUUUGAUUCUAUUCUAAAAUAAUAAAAUAAAAAUAAAAUAAAAUUAAAUAAAACAAUAAAAGUAAAAUAAAAAAUAAAAUAACAUAAAAUAUAAAAUAAUACCAUAAAAUAUAAAAU